GGGGCAAUGGUGUGGUACAGUCCUUUGAAAUUUCUGUGACUCUCUGGCAUAUGAAUGCUGUUGGAAAAUGGGACAGAUUUGCCCUGUUGAAGGGCCCUAGGCAGUUGGCUUGGAGCCCUUCCCUGGUCUAGGGAGAAUAUUAGCUUUCAACUCUGUAGGCCCUUUGGGGAUUGUGAACUUGACCCACAGUUCUGGAUGCAACUUACCAGGAGCAGCUUCUGCUUGGACAGUCAUAUCCUUCUAUCAUGGUCGACACAUUGAUAUAGCACCAGGGUUGUAACUCAAGAAAGAAUUCUCCAGAUUUUACUUCUCUUCUCUGGA
ensembl:lncRNA